rnacentral:rRNA from 1 species
UCGGUGAGAGAUGGAUCCGCGUCCGAUUAGCUAGUUGGAGGGGUAACAGCCCACCAAGGCGACGAUCGGUAGCCGACCUGAGAGGGUGGACGGCCACAUUGGGACUGAGACACGGCCCAAACUCCUACGGGAGGCAGCAGUGGGGAAUAUUGCACAAUGGGGGAAACCCUGAUGCAGCAACGCCGCGUGAGUGAGGAAGUAUUUCGGUAUGUAAAGCUCUAUCAGCAGGGAAUAGAAAAGAAGGUACCUGAAAAAGAAGCCCCGGCUAACUACGUGCCAGCAGCCGCGGUAAUACGUAGGGGGCAAGCGUUAUCCGGAUUUACUGGGUGUAAAGGGAGCGUAGACGGAAAGGCAAGUCAGAAGUGAAAACCCAAGGCUCAACCAUGGGACUGCUUUUGAAACUGUCAAACUAGAGUACGGGAGAGGUAAGAGGAAUUCCUAGUGUAGCGGUGAAAUGCGUAGAUAUUAGGAGGAACACCAGUGGCGAAGGCGUCUUACUGGACCGAAACUGACGUUGAGGCUCGAAAGCGUGGGGAGCAAACAGGAUUAGAUACCCUGGUAGUCCACGCGGUAAACGAUGAAUACUAGGUGUUGGGGUAAAGAAACCUCG